UACGUAGGGGGCAAGCGUUGUCCGGAUUUAUUGGGCGUAAAGAGCGUGUAGGCGGCUUUACAGGUCCGUUGUGAAAACUCGAGGCUCAACCUCGAGACGCCGGUGGAAACCUUAAAGCUAGAGUCCGGAAGAGGAGAGUGGAAUUCCUGGUGUAGCGGUGAAAUGCGCAGAUAUCAGGAAGAACACCCGUGGCGAAGGCGGCUCUCUGGGACGGUACUGACGCUGAGACGCGAAAGCGUGGGGAGCGAACAGG
rnacentral:rRNA from 1 species